rnacentral:rRNA from 4 species
GUUGGAUCACCUCCUUA